GCCUCUCCUCAAUCUCAGUCUUUUUGUUUUGUGGGGUGGUGGUGGUCUUGUCUGCUCAAGUAGUGCUUUUGGUUUUGUUUACUUAUGAGUUUUAAUUUUAUCUUUGACCAUAGCAGUUAGUUUAAAUGCCCUUUUGCACAAGCUAAUUUGGGAACAAAAAACAUCUGAAUGGGUAGCUAAAAAGCGCCAUAAGUGUAGCUAGCUAGUGUGAGUCAGUGCUCUCUCUUUCUCUCUCUCUUGCUUUGUCUAUAUAUAAGAACCUCUAAGCGGGUUAGGGUUUUGAGUGAGAUGGGUUAGUAGUAGUGUUGAGGGGAAUGUUGGCUGGCUCGAGGCUUUUUCUCAAAGGAGGUUCUCACUGGCAAGAACUAUAAGGCUUCGGACCAGGCUUCAUUCCCCUCAAAGCUCGUGUUUUUUGGGGGGCUUCAUAUCUUCUUGGAUUUGUGUUCAUCAAGUGCCAAAGGUGGUGUUGUGUUAUAUAUAUGCAUUAUUAUGUGUAUAUGUUUGGUUACAAGUGUGUAAGUUAGCCCUGCAAAGGUUAUGUUGAGAGGAAUGUUGUCUGGCUCGAGGUCAUGAUAUGGAGAUAUAUAUGAAAGUGUUUCAGUUAAAUUCCAGGGUAUAUAAAUUAAUGGAAAUUAAUUUAUACCCUAAAUGAUUCUCGGACCAGGCUUCAUUCCCCCCAGCCAACAUUUGCUACUACUCAAUACAACUACUUAAUUUGCGUUUGUUUUAUGAAGAUCCUCAUCUUCAUAGGAUUGUUUUGCAUCUUGCUAUCAGAUACCACCGAAGAAGGCUUUUUGAUUUACAGAUAACUCUUCCAAGAUUGGAGAAUUUCCAGCUGUAAGGUUACUUGUAUAUAUAAUAAAAGGUUUGUUAAAAUUUCCUAUGAAGAUAUACACUAUGGUUUACCCUUUUACUUUCUAACCUUGUUUCCAUUAUUAAACAAGUCAGUUACCUUAUGAAGGCUUCUUCAAAGUGUCAAGCUUGAAAGGACUAUACUAAAAGUGAGUGAGUACUUAUGUAUUUUUUUUAAAAUUUUUUUUGACAUGGUUGGAUCAUUUGAUUUCUCUUCUUCUUUUGAAUGAGAAAAAUACAAGGACCAAAAAGUUACUCAGUUUGCAGCUGUUUAUAUGAUGCUCACUCAUAUAGCUCACUCAUGAAGGAAUUAACAUACUCUCCCGAUCGAUCUCAGAGAGAGAGAUAAAGAUGAUAUAGACAUGCAUGCUUCAGCGUCACCAAUGCCAAGUCCAAGUCUCUCUAGUUUUCUGCAAUAUUAAUUUAAGAUUAGCAUUUGACAGAUGAGAGAAUGUGAAUAGGAAUAUAUUAUUAUUAUUAUUAUUAUUAUUAUGAAUAAAUAAAUUGGGUAAUCAAUCCCGGCCCGAAUGUUCAUUUCUCAUGGACAAGAAAGGUGAAAGCAUGUACAGUGAAAACCUAUCAGAUGUGAAAUUCUUGCUUGCUUGCUUUUAUCUGCGGUACUCUUAGCCAGCUUUGUCUCUAGGUCUUUGUAGGGUUUCAAACUACAACAUCCCUCCCCUAUUCUGAAGUCCUUUCAGCUUUUUUUGAAUUAACCCGUUUUCAAACUGGUGAGUGAAAAUUAUAGGGAAGGGAAACCUCUCAAUUAACUGGGGAAAAAGGGCAUCAUUUUCAUGAAUCUGAUCUGAAUGAAAUUUGUAUUACAGGUAAUUCAACAGUUACCAAGUGAAAUUCUUUGCAGUAAAAAACCUAAAAGUGAAAUGGCAGGGAUGAGUGAAGGUGGUGAAGGAGGAAGAUGAUUUCCUUCCCUUGAUGAAAUAGAAAUAGAUAAGAGAUGUGCUGGAACAGUUAACGAGAAGAAGUGAUGACAAGAGAAGCUAGCUAUGGAUUCUCUCUGUCACUGUGUGAGACUCUCUUUACAGAGAAUAGAUAUUACAUGUUUCCAUUAUGAUGAAGAACCAAAUAUGUGAAUGCACAAGCUGAUGCAAACUAAACAGAGAAAGAGAAAAUUUACAAUUACACAAGUGCUUUCUUGAUGGAUACAUAUAUGUAUGUGUGAGUUCUGAGAUGUGUGUUUUAGUGUAAUGUAUUUAUGGGGCUUUUAAAGUUGUUGAAAAUUCAGAAACCAUCUUUGGGAAAGCUUUGAUUCCGUGGAGUCAUACAGUAGAAGAGAUUUUGAAAUUGGAAAUGCAAAAGAAACAAGAGAGAGAGAGUAGUAAAAUAAAUGACGACUAUCUGACGAAUCUUGGGAAAUGAAACAGAGACAGAGCUACCCGGGGAACGAUUCAUCGCCGAGCAAGCCAACUUGGUCUCUGUCUCUUUAAAGAGGGGAAACUACUGCCAACUCCUUUAUUGCUCACAUUUUCAUCAUCAAUUUAUUAUCACCACUGCCCACCUAGGAUUACAGAAUUUUUUUUCAAACACAAAUUUCUCCUCAAUGUUUUAGUCUUAGGAUUAAUAAUUAAAAAAUAAA